rnacentral:ncRNA from 1 species
AAUUUAUUUGGUCUUGGUUAAAUAAAGAGUUAUUACUAAAACUACCAUAAAAAUAUUAUAUCUUAUAAAAUUUAUUAAAUUAUUUUAAAGGUUAGUGGUGAAUUUUUAUAAAUAAGGGCGAAAACCCGUUUAAGUUAGUAAACCAGAGGAGUAAAUUUAGGUGCCAGCAUCUGCGGUUAUACCUAUCCUCCAUCUUUAUUUUUGGGUUAAAUGCAAUGUAGAUUGUUCAACAAAAGCGACUUUGUAAGGUUAAAUGAUUAAAAGUUACUCAAUCUUAAUUUGUAACAUAAUUUCAUUGCAAAAAUUUUUAUAAAAACUAAGAUUAGGUACCUUAUUAUUAUAAAAAGUAAAUCCUUUGAACCCAGAGGAGUAAUAAAACGAAACUUAAAAGACCUGGCGGUGGAAAUCUUCCUAUCAGAGGGGUGUGCCAAUUAAUAGAUAAUCCGCUAACUAGCUUACUCUAAGUUUUUAGUCAGUGUACGGCCGCUUUCAGGAAAUUUUGUUAGAAUUUAAAAAUUUCCUAUACCUAAAUCUUAAAUAUGUAAGUAUUUAAUAAAGCUUAGUCAAGACAGGUCAAUGUGCUGCUGAUUUUAGAGAAAAUGGUGCGCCAUCAUAAAUGUGAAAAGGGAUUCUAAAAAGAAAUAUUAGGAUGAAUUAAGAUUUGAUAGUAAUGAUAUUAAAGUAUGGUAUCAUGAAGUAGGUAAAGAUCUGCGUACACAUCGCCCGUCGCUCUUCUUAAAAAAGAAGAGAAGUCGUAACAUGGUAGCUCUAAUAGAAAUUGGGGCUAAAGAUUA